rnacentral:rRNA from 1 species
ACCCGCUGAACUUAAGCAUAUCAAUAAGCGGAGGAAAAGAAACCAACAGGGAUUGCCUCAGUAACGGCGAGUGAAGCGGCAACAGCUCAAAUUUGAAAUCUGGAGCCUUUGGCUUCUGAGUUGUAAUUUGAAGAGGAUGCUUCGGUUGUGGCCUUGGCCUAAGUUCCUUGGAACAGGACGUCGUAGAGGGUGAGAAUCCCGUACACGGCUGCUGGCUUACUUCCAUGUGAAGCUCCUUCGAAGAGUCGAGUUGUUUGGGAAUGCAGCUCAAAAUGGGUGGUAAAUUUCAUCUAAAGCUAAAUAUUGGCGAGAGACCGAUAGCGCACAAGUAGAGUGAUCGAAAGAUGAAAAGCACUUUGAAAAGAGAGUUAAACAGUACGUGAAAUUGUUGAAAGGGAAGCGCUUGCAAUCAGACUCGCUUUCGGUUGAUCAAGGUUCCUUCUGGUUCCUGCACUCUGCCGUUUGCGGGCCAGCAUCAGUUUGGGCGGCCGGAUAAAGGUCUCGGGAAUGUGGCUCCCUUUGGGGAGUGUUAUAGCCCUUGGCGUAAUACGGUCAGUCUGGAUUGAGGUCCGCGCUUUUGCUAGGAUGCUGGCUUAAUGGUUGUAAGCGACCCGUCUUGAAACACGG